UACAGGGGGUGCAAACGUUGCUCGGAAUCAUUGGGCGUAAAGCGCACGUAGGCGGUCUGUUAUGUCGGAUGUGAAAGCCCUUGGCUCAACUGAGGAAGUGCAUCCGAAACUGGCGGGCUAGAGUACGAAAGAGGAUCGCGGAAUUCCCGGUGUAGAGGUGAAAUUCGUAGAUAUCGGGAGGAACACCAGCGGCGAAGGCGGCCUUCUGGACGGUGACUGACGCUGAGACGCGAAAGCGUGGGGAGCAAACAGG
rnacentral:rRNA from 1 species